rnacentral:rRNA from 1 species
AUGACCGCGGAUCCCCCAACCUCCCAUGUUCCUCCUAACCUCUUUCACCCCUCUCCUGAUGUGCUCCAUGCUGGUCUCGCGACAGAGAUGACGUUGAACCUUUGGUUGCACGGCGCGGCGGCUCGCCAUGGGACUCGACAGUACGGUGGCCAGUCCCGUGACACCAUGCCUCUCCCACCUCUUUCGGUGGCUUUCUCUGCUGCCCCUGGAGCUCAACGUGGAGGGACUCGCCAUGCAUCGCGCAUCGUUCUGGACGCGGCUGCCCACUACCCUGCAAGUCGACUGUUCCAACGCCCACAAGUGUUCGACGUUAUGUUUGGACAGCUGUAG